rnacentral:rRNA from 1 species
GAUGAACGCUGGCGGCGUGCCUAAUACAUGCCAGUCGAGCGAACGGACGAGAAGCUUGCUUCUCUGAUGUUAGCGGCGGACGGGUGAGUAACACGUGGAUAACCUACCUAUAAGACUGGGAUAACUUCGGGAAACCGGAGCUAAUACCAGAUAAUAUUUUGAACCGCAUAGUUCAAAAGUAAAAGACGGUCUUGCCGUCACUUAUAGCUGGAUCCGCGCUGCAUUAGCUAGUUGGUAAGGUAACGGCUUACCAAGGCAACGAUGCAUAGCCGACCUGAGAGGAUGAUCGGCCACACUGGAACUGAGACACGGUCCAGACUCCUACGGGAGGCAGCAGUAGGGAAUCUUCUGCAAUGGGCGAAAGCCUGACGGAGCAACGCCGCGUGAGUGAUGAAGGUCUUCGGAUCGUAAAACUCUGUUAUUAGGGAAGAACAUAUGUGUAAGUAACUGUGCACAUCUUGACGGUACCUAAUCAGAAAGCCACGGCUAACUACGUG